rnacentral:sRNA from 1 species
UCCUACUUUGGCGCCACGUGGACCCGACCGCCGUGCUGACCCGCGGACAAAGACCAAAAUGUCCACUCGCUGCCCUGCGUCUGCGCACUCAGGGAGCGAGAGAGCACUCCCAGAAGUCUCCGCGACACCUCCGGGCUUGUUCACUAAAGCCCAGCAAGGCUGUUGUCUAUUAUCAGCAAUACUGUUUUUCCGACUUCGGACUACACUUCCCACAAGGCAUUGCGGGUCUCUUAUCUUCCCACGCUCAAACCUGGCCGCCUUUUCUUCUGAUUUGGGGUUUCUUAGAGUAGAUUGUUGCCACUUGGAUCCAAAUAAGCUCAUGCCUGGUGGGAUGUUUGGAGUGGGGGCUUCCUCUUUGAUACUUCACGGGCGGCGUCUCAAAAAUACACUGAGCCCCAGACACCAAGGUGAGAGGACACCAUCUUUGUCAAUGGCUGAUGUGACUGUGGACUACGUUUCCCAGAGUUCAUAGCGAGCUGACAUUGCACCUCAACUUGGUGAAAUCUUUAGCUUUGGCUGACUCGGACGCGCGCGCCUUCUACAGAGACCGAAGGACUCUUCAUGUAUCCGGAAGGAGAAAUCAGAGUAGGUCAGGUUGUCCUGAAUGCCAUGGUCCUUCAGGAGCCUAUUUCAUGGUGCUGGAGAGAUGACUCCAUGCUUGAGAACUGGUUGCACUUCCAGAGGAUCUGGAUUCAUUUCCCACACCCACAUGUUGGCUUGCAACCAUCUAACUGCAGGUCCAGGGGAUCAGAAGCCCUGUUCUGACUUCCUUAGGUAUCAGGUCCACACAUGGUGCACAGACAUACAUGCAGAUCACCCAGACACAUAAACUACAACCCAUAUUUCAUGCCAUUGGAAACUGGAUAGAAAACAUGUCCGUCACACAUAUAAAACCAUGUCUCCCAUAAGCUGGUUGUCAUGCACACUCCAUUGAUCCCAGCACUUGGAAGGCAGAAGCAGGCAGAUCUCCGAGUUCAUUCAAGGCCAGCCUGGUCUAUAGAGU